GUGAUUGCUCCCCUCCACUAUUACCAAUCAUUGGUUCGACCAAUCACAAUUUACCAACCCGUACACAUAAUAUUGGUGGGGAUACCGUAGAAAAGUAGUGCGGCUAGCAGGAACGUAUUUAUUAAAGGCGCUCAUCGAGAGGACGGUCACCUUAAAGUGUCUCUGAACUGUUGAAGCAAUGUAGUACUUGUCAUGCCAAACUUCGUGCAAAAGGGUUUAUUUUUCCCGCGUUUAAACAGUUCAUUUCAGAUGUCAUACGACCAUGUAUUGAUUACUUUUUUCUUGUAGAGACUAUAGAAUUACACAUUACACGUUAUACAUAUAAUUAUAUUGCAAAUUAUUAUAUAAACUACAUACUAAUAUUUAUUAUUAUUAAAAUAGAUUGUAAAAAUAUAAUGUUUUAUAUAUAUAUAUACAUCAAAUCAGAUCUUUCGUAUUAAAUUAUAAUAACAAAUUUUUCUUAAUUUUUAGUUAAUUAAAUGUAAAUAAUGAAUGUACUGUAGCAAGCUGUUGCAUAAAUUUGAAAGUUUCAAGAUUAGAAUUUAUAAUAUAAGAGAUAAAUGAAUAUUUCAAUAUAGUUAUUGUAAUAUUUAACAUAAAUUAAAUAAAAUAACAUAUCAUUAAAAUAUGUUUAAUAAUAAAAGAUAUGACAUUAAUUUAAAAGAAAUAAGAAUGGUCACGAGGUCAUCGGCAUCUAUACUUUAAAUUACGUUGAACUUUAUAAAAAUAACUCAAUCAUUAUUGUAACAAUAGAAACAAUAUAAUAUUAAAAAUAAUAUAUGAAUAAUUGUAUGUAACUUUUUUAAAAAUUCAUAUAUUUUAAAAACAAAUAUAUUUUAUGAAUGAAAUUAUAUAAAAAAUUAUGAAAAUUAUUAAUAUAAGGGGGCUAAAUCUACAUUUCGUUUUUAGUAUAGGUACGUACCUAUGAUCUUUAACUGCGCAUGCGCAUAUCUGUAUAUAUGAAGAGGCUAUUCGACUAAUCGCAUUGGAUGUUUCGACUACGCUUUCCGCUAUUCGUUUCCUUGUGUUACUUGUGGACAUAUUUACGUUCUUUUUCAAAUUCUUAUUAUUUUGUGAUUACAAAAAUCAUGUGCUAGCUUUAGAAUUUACGUAUUUAUUGUAAUUAUAUUAAUAACAUUUUGUUGGAUAUAUAAAAUCUCUACGCAUCGAUACUUUCGUGAAACGUCAACCUAACCCUCAAUAAGUGCAGGAGUCACGAAUCUGAAAUUCCAUUAUGAUAUAUAAGGUUUUCCUCCAGAGAUGGCAAUGAAGAGGAAGAAAAUUCAUUGGAUUAUUUAAGAAUGAUUCAGAAAUAUAUAAAGCAUAUGGAAUAAAAGAUGUAUUAUUAUGAUUAUUAUGUAAAUUAAUCAGAUAUCUGAAAUAAGAGUAUCAUGCAUCAUAAAUUAUGAUUUAUAUCAUUAUGAUAUAUAGAUUUCCAAUCUUCAAUUGUUUUGAUAUAGCAUCAAAAUAAAUAAUUUAUUACAUAAAAAGGAACUUUUAAGAAAAUGAAAGGACAGGUUAUCGAUAAUUUAUAAAAAUCUAUUCCUUGAUAUGUAUGAUAUAUAAUCCUUGAUGUAUUCAAUUUAUUUAAAUUAUUUUUGCAGUAAAAAUUUAUGAAUUAUAUAAUCAUUUUAAACUUCGAUUUAUUUCAUUAACUUUUUUACCCUAAUUUAUCACAUCAUUAAAUUACUUUUUUAUAAUCAUAAUAAUUUAUUUGUAAUUGUAAUCAUAUGCAAAAUAAUAUUAUGAUUAAUAACAUUGAAUGUUUAUGAUUAAUAAUAUGAAACACAAUAUCUCAUAUUAAUGAAGAAUUGUAUUCUUUCAUUAAUAUAUGUAAAGCUUUUUCUUUUCUUUUCGUUAAUUAAUUUUAAAUAAUUCAAAAAAAUGAGUACUUAAAUAAUAUGAGCUACAUACAUUUUUUUUUAAUUUACACUUAACAAAUUUUCAAUCUAUGGAUAAAGUUUUGCAACAUCUAAUAUAUAGCUAAUGUAACUGAAAAAAAAAUAUUACUACUAUCUUUCAUUAACGCGUAUUGUAUUUUUUAUAUAUUUCGUAUAAAACUUUUCUAUGUGUUGUAUUGUUUUAUAUUUUAAUGUAUGUACAUAAUUUAUAUUUAUAUUUAUUGCGUGUAUAUGUAUAAAAUUUUUCUUAAAUUUUGCUUGGAAUGCUAAUUUAAGAAUUUAUUUACACAAAGAUGUAUUCAUAUGUAAAAUUUACAUUAAUAAACAAUACAAUAUUAAUAUUA